rnacentral:rRNA from 1 species
GACGUAGGAGGCGAGCGUUAUCCGGAUUCACUGGGCGUAAAGCGCAUGUAGGCGGCUGAGAAAGUCUGCAAGUGAAAUCCCUCGGCUCACCGAGGAAUUGCGCCCUAAACUACCGUGCUCGAGGGAGAUAGAGGUGAGCGGGAACUUAGGGUGGAGCGGAUGAAAUUCGUAGAUAUUCGCAAGAACACCAGUGGCGAAGGCGGCUCACUG